GGAGCUGGAGCUAUUGAUCUACACAAGAGCAAGUGCUCUUCUCCCAGCUCCAGGAACCUCCCUUUUACCAUAAAAGGGAGCACCUUUCAGAAACGCUGUCUGUGUUCCCUAGCCUGAGGAUAAGCUCAUGACCUUCUGUAUCUAUGACGACCCGUGGGUGUCCCGACAGGUGCGUGGGCACUUAGAUCCUGGAUGCUCCCCUUGUCGUUCCUGACAGGCACUGCUCCAGGUCCUGGACUAAGACCACCGUGAGAGCCUGGAGGACGGCAGGCCUGAGGACCACCCUUCUCUCUGACCCCCACACCCCAGGGCCUAUACCUGAAAUGU
rnacentral:lncRNA from 1 species